GUGCUCCCAUGGCAACUGGCCAAGGAGGAGUACCUCUCUGCACAGAAGUAAAAUUGCUUUGCUGAAAAUCCUUUGUUUGAGUGUUCAAUUUCCUUAGGAUUUUGAGCAUUAUUUCUAACAAUUCUGGCGCCCAACGUGGGGAAAAUAUUCUCCUUUGGGAGGUGGUCUUCGGUCACCCCACCCAUCGGGGAUGCGUCCCACUGUCUAGUUACAGUGGCCCAAUGGGAUCAGGGCCCCCAUUGCGAUGAAUAAAUCUGGGUUCUCAGCAAAGUGGGGAGGAGAGGCUUGCAAGACCAUGGCAAUAAGAGGACAAGAUAACUCUUCUGCAUGAACCAAGGAAAUGUUGGAGGCUUUUGAAGAAGAGGCUAAAGGAACAGGACACCCCAGGCUGUGUAUCACAGCAGCUAUAUCUGCUGGCAAGGAGACCAUUGAUGCAGGAUAUGAAAUUUCAGAGAUCAAGAAGUGAGUGCAGUGUGUCUCUCGGGAGUUCCCAAAUCCCAGAGCAGAGAUUUCUAAACUUUUUGGUGGACAGCAUCCCAAGCAGUGCUGAGAAAACUGCCCUGUGGCUGGAGGCGAGAUAUGCUGGCGGAAAUGCUGCUCUGUUACUCUUUGCUACACUGAGGUGUUUGGGUGGAGAGAAGCAUAAAUCUGGCCUGCGUGCACGUCCAGGCAUAGUACCUUCCUUGAACUUAUUUGUGACACAGAUUCCUUUGCUCACAUGUUUUCUUGCUGACCUCCCCACUAUCACCCUGUUCUCCUGCCACAUUCCCCUUGCUAAGAUAGUGAAAAUAAUAAUUAAUAAAUACUGAGGGAACUCAGAGACCAGUGCUGGUGCAGGACCUCUGUAUGCUGAGCACUGGUUUCUGGGCCCACUGUUCUUUCUCU
rnacentral:lncRNA from 1 species